GGACUCGUAGCUCAGCUUGGAUAGAGCACUAGCCUUCUAAGCUAGGGGUCGCGGGUUCAAAUCCCGUCGAGUCCGCCA
rnacentral:tRNA from 1 species